rnacentral:rRNA from 2 species
GGUAUUGGUUGGUGCUUGCAUCAUGAUUUACAUUUGAGUGAGUGGCGAACUGGUGAGUAACACGUGGGAAACCUGCCCAGAAGCGGGGGAUAACACCUGGAAACAGAUGCUAAUACCGCAUAACAACUUGGACCGCAUGGUCCGAGUUUGAAAGAUGGCUUCGGCUAUCACUUUUGGAUGGUCCCGCGGCGUAUUAGCUAGAUGGUGGGGUAACGGCUCACCAUGGCAAUGAUACGUAGCCGACCUGAGAGGGUAAUCGGCCACAUUGGGACUGAGACACGGCCCAAACUCCUACGGGAGGCAGCAGUAGGGAAUCUUCCACAAUGGACGAAAGUCUGAUGGAGCAACGCCGCGUGAGUGAAGAAGGGUUUCGGCUCGUAAAACUCUGUUGUUAAAGAAGAACAUAUCUGACAGUAACUGUUCAGGUAUUGACGGUAUUUAACCAGAAAGCCACGGCUAACUACGUGCCAGCAGCCGCGGUAAUACGUAGGUGGCAAGCGUUGUCCGGAUUUA